rnacentral:rRNA from 1 species
AGAGUUUGAUCCUGGCUCAGGACGAACGCUGGCGGCAUGCCUAAUACAUGCAAGUCGAACGAGCUUCCGUUGAAUGACGUGCUUGCACUGAUCUCAACAAUGAAGCGAGUGGCGAACUGGUGAGUAACACGUGGGAAAUCUGCCCAGAAGCAGGGGAUAACACUUGGAAACAGGUGCUAAUACCGUAUAACAACAAAAUCCGCAUGGAUUUUGUUUGAAAGGUGGCUUCGGCUAUCACUUCUGGAUGAUCCCGCGGCGUAUUAGUUAGUUGGUGAGGUAAAGGCCCACCAAGACGAUGAUACGUAGCCGACCUGAGAGGGUAAUCGGCCACAUUGGGACUGAGACACGGCCCAAACUCCUACGGGAGGCAGCAGUAGGGAAUCUUCCACAAUGGACGAAAGUCUGAUGGAGCAAUGCCGCGUGAGUGAAGAAGGGUUUCGGCUCGUAAAACUCUGUUGUUAAAGAAGAACACCUUUGAGAGUAACUGUUCAAGGGUUGACGGUAUUUAACCAGAAAGCCACGGCUAACUACGUGCCAGCAGCCGCGGUAAUACGUAGGUGGCAAGCGUUGUCCGGAUUUAUUGGGCGUAAAGCGAGCGCAGGCGGUUUUUUAAGUCUGAUGUGAAAGCCUUCGG